rnacentral:rRNA from 1 species
CUCGGCAGCCAUAUCACCCUGCAACUCACAGCUGGCAGCCCACUGAAGCUCAGCAGGUGUGAGCCUGGUCAGUACCUGGAUGGGAGACCUCCUAGGAAAAACUAAGGUUGCUGCAGGAA